UCUCCUCACAGCCCUGUCCCUUCAUCCGAACUGUUCGCCUCCAAACUCCGUUUACUCCUGAAACUUCCCUCCUCUCUUCUGCUUCUCCCUCUUCCCUUUCCUCCCCCACUAGAAACCGGGGUCCAGUCUCCAUUUCAUCCAUGGAUUUCCUGAGACUCCAUUCCAGCCAGUCACACACCACUAACAACGGUUUUCCUCGUUCAGUUCUGGGGAAAAGCUCAACCCGUCGAUCCAGCUCUCAGCGCACCAACACCAGACCGUUGUCUUUCCCACAGAUCCAAAAAUGUCAGAGAUUCAUGAGUCGUAGGACCGUGAGAGUUGCAGCCAAAAUCAUCACAGCUAAUUCUGGACAGGACGUCACUCUGACAUGUCGAGCUCCAAACAACAACAACAACAUUGUAGAGUGGAGCAGAGCUGACCUGGGAGACAAAUAUGUGCUUGUGUACCGUGAUGGUCACUUACUUACAGAUGACCAGCAUCCAUCUUUUAAGAACCGGGUGGAUCUGCAGGACAGACAGAUGAAGGAUGGAGACGUGUCUUUGAUUCUGAAGGAUGUGACGAUUAAUGACACUGGAACAUACGAGUGUCACAUUGCUCAGCGAAAACCAAACCAAGAGAGACCCAGUUUAGAGUUCAUCAGCAUCAUCCACCUUCAUGUUGCUCCUCCAGGUCAGACGGGAGGACACAAAGAUGGAGACAAAAACAUCACAGCUGAGUCUGGACAGGACGUCACUCUGACAUGUCGAGCUCCAAACAACAACUUCAUAGUUGUAGUUUGGGGCAGAGCUGACCUGGGAGAUAAACAUGUGUUUGUGUACCGGGAUGGUCAAUUUAGUCCAGAUGACCAGCAUCCAUCUUUUAAGAACCGGGUGGAUCUGCAGGACAGACAGAUGAAGGAUGGAGACGUGUCUUUGAUUCUGAAGAAUGUGACGGUUAAUGAUGCUGGAAGAUACGAGUGUCGUGUUGGUAAGAAACAACCAAACCAAACAAAUGUGGAUUUGAAGCUCAUCAACAUCAUCACACUGAAAGUUGAUCCUCCAGGAUCUGUUGGACUGAUCGUCGGUCUGUCAGUUCCUGUUGUGCUUCUUCUUCUUGUUGCUGUUGUUGGUUUCUUGAUCUACAGAAAAAAGAAACUGAAUCCUGCUGAUCCACAUGAAGCAGAGCAUCUUCAGCUUCUUCAGCCUGAAUGUCAGAAAACCAUCACAGCUGAGUCUGGACAGGACGUCACUCUGACAUGUCGAGCUCCAAACAACAACAUCAUAGUUGUAAAGUGGAGCAGAGCUGACCUGGUAGAUGAAUAUGUGCUUUUGUACCAGGAUGAGCAGUUUGAUCCAAAAGGGCAGCAUCCAUCUUUUAAGAACCGGGUGGAUCUGCAGGACAGACAGAUGAAGGAUGGAGACGUGUCUUUGAUUCUGAAGGAUGUGACGAUUAAUGACACUGGAACAUACGAGUGUGGUGUUGUCCAGGGAGUGGGAGGACCUGUGACUCUAAUCAGCAGCAUCAACCUUGUUAUUGUUCCUCCAGGUCAGAACAACAUCACAGUAGUAGUAGUACAUGUCACGAGCUCCAAACAGCUGAGUCAGAGAAAAUGAGCCAACAGCUUCAUCAGCCCGAGUGUUGAUCCAACAUAGACUCCAUGUCAUCCAACAUUUCUCUCAGUCACACUGAGAGACACUCUAACAUUUUCCAACGUCGUCUACGUAACUUCUGCUGAAGGAAGAAUAAAAGAAAUGUAAAUUUUGUAGAUAUUGUAAAGUUUUAUAUUUUUAUGACUUCUUAGAUGUGUUUUGGGGGUUUAUAUGGAUAUUUAGCCUCUAAGAGUCUAAAGUUUCUGUGGAGACCACACAUGUCAAUAUUUGCAUGAACAAAGUCGUGGAUGGUUGCAUACCUCCUGAAUGAUGCACUCAGUGUUUAUUUGUUUGUUCAUUAAUAACACAAAUGUUACAAAUGGUGAUUGUUUUCCUUCAUUCAGGCAUUUUUAACAUUAUUAUUUGUGUUACGUUCUUAGUCUAGGCAUGUAUUGAACACAAGAAAUUGGCCCACUCCCGCACCACCCAAGAAAGAACACAAACAGUGGUAUCUUUUAAAGUGCUAAGCAGCCAUUUAUUUGCUUCAGCAGUGAGCCGUGCCAAAAAUAACAAACAAAACUCCCUAAUGGUCCCUAUUCGUUCCUACACAAAUGAAAAUCAACCAAACGACAGUUCACUUAGGCUGCUGCAGUGACGAAUAUAUAGAAGGUGAACAAAAUACACAAUUGCUACUUUACAAAUCUAUUUACAGCCAUUUACAGAAUUAAGAUACUAACACCAGACACACACACACACACGGUUAUACUUGCAGAUCAAUGGGCAAACACACUCUAUCAAAAAAAAAAAAACGAAUAAAAAGCACAUGCUAUUUGUAGGAUGGUGGAGGGUAGUAGAGAGAGGGGCCAGGUGGCUGUCAUCUGGUAGUUAAAUACUGGAGGUGAUUAGCCAAUUAUCCAAUCCAAGGACAGGAAGAGACUCCACCCAACUACUCAGCAGGCACGCCCAGGUGUCCACCUCCUAAAAGAGAAAGGGGAAAAACCCCACAACCAUCUUAUGGAAGGAGGAGUCACGCAUAAAACAACACACAGACAACAUUGGAUCAUAACAUUUGUGAUUAAAAAUUGUAGCUGCUUGUGUUGUAUGUUUGUCCUUGUAUGUGUGUUUGUGUUUCCUGCUGCUCACACACAGGAUUAGAAAAGCCUGAAAACUCAGAGUUCUCAGAGUCUGUGAGCUCCAAAUGUUUGCAUGUAGGACAGAGAACAAAGGUCAGUGUGUGAGUGUCUCUGUGUUUGAAGUAAUAAACUACUGGAUUAGUCUGA